rnacentral:sRNA from 1 species
AUGGGAAUGCUCAGGAUGCACAGCUACCCCAGCACUCACCUGAGUGCCCUGCACAGGUAUGUGGACCGAGUGACUGAAUUCCUCCAGCAAAAGCUGAAGCAGUCCCAGUUGCUGGCUUUGAAGAAAGAGCUGAUGGUGCAGAAGCAGCAGGAGGCACUUGAGGAGCAGGCAGCUCUGGAGCCUAAGCUGGACCUGCUGCUGGAGAAGACCAAGGAGCUGCAGAAGCUGAUUGAAGCUGACAUCUCCAAGAGGUACAGCGGGCGCCCUGUGAACCUGAUGGGAACCUCUCUGUGACACCCUCCGUGUUCUUGCCUGCCCAUCUUCUCCGCUUUUGGGAUGAAGAUGAUAGCCAGGGCUGUUGUUUUGGGGCCCUUCAAGGCAAAAGACCAGGCCGACUGGAAGACGGAAAGCCACAGGAAGGAAGCAGCACCUGAUGGUGAUCUUGGCACUCUCCAUGUUCUCUACAAGAAGCUGUGGUGAUUGGCCCUGUGGCCUGUCAGGUGAAAACCACAGCUUCUUCUAAUUAGUAUAGCAGACUUCAUAAAAGAGGAAAAAACUCUUGC